rnacentral:misc_RNA from 1 species
UGAAAAUUUUAUUAAAUAUAUUAUCAUGAUUUGUAAAAUAUUUUAUUAAUACUAUAAAUAAUUUUAUAAAUUUUGUGGUGUUUUUGUUAAUUAAUUGUUUUUAUUAAUUUUAAUAUGAAUUGUUCCAAGCCAUGUUUUAUUGAAUUUAGGUCAAGUUAUUGAUGUGUCUUGGCCAUGUUCUAUUGAUUUUUUGCCUAUAUGCUGUGAUGUAUCAUCGUUACUUUAGGCCAUGUGAUGUCUUACCGAUUUUUCAUGCCAUGUUUACGCCAUUUCCGACGUGUGUAUCUUCAGGCAAAGAGUCUUUGUUGGGCCAAUGGGUGCACAGUAAGUUUUGAGGUGUAAUAAAAUACUAUAUUUUUAAGGUAUUAAUUAUUUUUACUGAAUUAUUGUAACGUUAUGACAAUACACAUUUGAAAUAAAAUAAAACUUGAAAUUUGUAGAAAAUAACUUCUGAAGAUUUCUCUUAAAAACUUUUUGUAUGAACAGAAUUUAGAGAGAGUAUAAGAGAAUAAGGAAAAAAAGAAAGUAAUAUAUAUGAUUUGAAUAACUCAUCCAUAUUUAUAGAGAA